ACCCUUCCCUUUACUUAAGGAAAUAAAAAAUAAAAUAAAUACUUACCUUAAAACAACUUACCUGUAGAUCCUGUUAAAAUUCUGGUCACAUCCUGAGGGCUUGAGAGACAGUUUAGUUCAUCAACCUUCGCUUUAACCUUUUUUUAGAUUUCAGGAUCCUGAAUUAUCCUGUUAAAAUUCUGGUCACAUCCUGAGGGCUUGAGAGACAGUUUAGUUCAUCAACCUUCGCUUUAACCUUUUUUUAGAUUUCAGGAUCCUGAAUUAUCCUGUUAAAAUUCUGGUCACAUCCUGAGGGCUUGAGAGACAGUUUAGUUCAUCAACCUUCGGAAUACACAGAAGUUUUAUUGACUUGGAGGAUGUCUACCCCACCGGUCCAGAGAGUCUAUUUUCAACUGUUUCAGGCCAUUCAUCAUUUGGAGAUUUUGUCA